rnacentral:rRNA from 1 species
CUGCUAUCAGAGUGGGACUAAGCCAUGCGAGUUAACGUAGUAAUACGUGGCAUACGGCUCAGUAACACGUAGUCAACAUGCCCAGGGGACGUGGAUAACCUCGGGAAACUGAGGAUAAACCGCGAUAGGCCAUAAUUCCUGGAAUGGUUUAUGACUGAAACCUAUAUGGCCCCUGGAUUGGACUGCGGCCGAUCAGGCUGUUGGUGAGGUAAUGGCCCACCAAACCUGUAACCGGUACGGGCUCUGAGAGGAGAAGCCCGGAGAUGGGCACUGAGACAAGGGCCCAGGCCCUAUGGGGCGCAGCAGGCGCGAAACCUCUGCAAUAGGCGAAAGCCU